rnacentral:pre_miRNA from 1 species
UAUAAGGGAUUUUGAUUUUUUGCUUUCAACGUUUGACCACUCAUCUUAUUCAAAAUUUUUUAAAAUUAUUAUUUAUUUUAUUUGUGACUUACUAUUAUCUACCGUACUUUAAGUACAACUUUUCGUUUUCUAUAUUUGCAAAAAAAAAUUAAAUAAGACGAGUGGUCAAAUGUUGCAAUUAAAAACUCAAAAUCCCUUAUA